rnacentral:tRNA from 1 species
GCCUGGGUAGCUCAGCCGGUUGAGUAUCUGCCUUCAGCUCAGGUCAUGAUCUCACAGCUCAUGGGUUCAAGCCCCGUGUCCGGGCC